rnacentral:sRNA from 1 species
CCACGCAGUCUUGUUUAUUUGUCCGGCUGUGUUAGGGUCGACAGACAUUCAGCUGAACCCCGCCUUCGGGCGGGGUUUUGCUUUUUU